GGUAUCGAUGUCUCGUCUCUUUCAAUCUGCAUUUCCUCUUGUUGUACAAUAUUGACUGCAGACAAAGCAUUGUUUUCCACAACAUCAACAAUGAAACGGGAAGUCUUGAAAUUUGAAUCAUUUUUCAACAAGUAGAUGCAAGUAGUAACUUCCUCAUCGUUUGUUACUUGCAUUCCUUUGCUUGUUUCUAGAUUCGAGUCAAACCAAAUGUUUGCUUUUAUCUCACCCACUUUCAGUUUUAGAACCUGAAAAAUCUUCUCGACAAGACCUUCAAAUGUUAUCCCAUCAUUCACAAGAAUUAGCUUGAUCUCAUGAUCCAAAUACUUGUUAUCUGUAGUCCAUUUGCCAUU
rnacentral:misc_RNA from 1 species